GUGAAUCAUCAAAUUUUUGAACGCAAAUUGCGCUUCCUGGCAUCCCGGGAAGUAUGCCUGUUUGAGAGUCAGUAUUAAUAAAAAAUCGGUUUAGUUACAAAUUGUGACGUUUCCGGAGUUUGGGCUAUCUUAACAUUUUUGGUUAAGAGGCUUAAAAUUGACCUUUUUUGCGCAUUUUUAAACGUACAUAAAUUUUUUUUUUCGUUCUAUUUUAAUUGCAAAAUUUUUUUUAAUGGGGUC
rnacentral:misc_RNA from 1 species